rnacentral:rRNA from 1 species
GAUGAACGCUGGCGGCGUGCCUAAUACAUGCAAGUCGAGCGAACAGACGAGGAGCUUGCUCCUCUGACGUUAGCGGCGGACGGGUGAGUAACACGUGGAUAACCUACCUAUAAGACUGGGAUAACUUCGGGAAACCGGAGCUAAUACCGGAUAAUAUAUUGAACCGCAUGGUUCAAUAGUGAAAGACGGUUUUGCUGUCACUUAUACAUGGAUCCGCGCCGCAUUAGCCAGUUGGUAAGGUAACGGCUUACCAAGGCAACGAUGCGUAGCCGACCUGAGAGGGUGAUCGGCCACACUGGAACUGAGACACGGUCCAGACUCCUACGGGAGGCAGCAGUAGGGAAUCUUCCGCAAUGGGCGAAAGCCUGACGGAGCAACGCCGCGUGAGUGAUGAAGGUCUUCGGAUCGUAAAACUCUGUUAUUAGGGAAGAACAAAUGUGUAAGUAACUAUGCACGUCUUGACGGUACCUAAUCAGAAAGCCACGGCUAACUACGUG